rnacentral:tRNA from 1 species
GGACUCGUAGCUCAGUUGGUAGAGCAGCGGACUCUUAAUCCGAAGGUCUAGGGUUCAAAUCCCUACGGGUCCACCA